AGCGCAGGCGGUUUCUUAAGUCUGAUGUGAAAGCCUUCGGCUUAACCGGAGAAGAGCAUCUGAAACUGGGAGACUUGAGUGCAGAAAAGGACAGUGGAACUCCAUGUGUAGCGGUGAAAUGCGUAGAUAUAUGGAAGAACACCAGUGGCGAAGGCGGCUGUCUGGUCUGUAACUGACGCUGAGGACUCGAAAGCGAUGGGUAGCGAACA
rnacentral:rRNA from 1 species